rnacentral:rRNA from 1 species
CCUACGGGCGGCAGCAGUGGGGAAUAUUGGACAAUGGGGGCAACCCUGAUCCAGCCAUGACGCGUGUGUGAAGAAGGCCCUCGGGUUGUAAAGCACUUUCAGUGAGGAAGAACGCCUGGUGGUUAAUACCCAUCAGGAAAGACAUCACUCACAGAAGAAGCACCGGCUAACUCCGUGCCAGCAGCCGCGGUAAUACGGAGGGUGCGAGCGUUAAUCGGAAUUACUGGGCGUAAAGCGCGCGUAGGUGGCUUGAUAAGCCGGUUGUGAAAGCCCCGGGCUCAACCUGGGAACGGCAUCCGGAACUGUCAAGCUAGAGUGCAGGAGAGGAAGGUAGAAUUCCCGGUGUAGCGGUGAAAUGCGUAGAGAUCGGGAGGAAUACCAGUGGCGAAGGCGGCCUUCUGGACUGACACUGACACUGAGGUGCGAAAGCGUGGGUAGCAAACAGGAUUAGAUACCCUAGUAGUC